ACCUCUACCAUGAGUUGACGUAGUUUUGACAUCUUACUCUACUACAGCAGUAAAUGUGACAACGCAACUACAAUAGAUGGCUUCAAUGUUCGUACCAUGAGAUGUUUUGAUGUUAACUAUCCUCGCUAUAGUUGAAUCUAUAUCGUUCGUAGUAUCGUUCAUUGUAUCUAAUUUCAAGCAUCGUAGUUCUUACUCUUUUUAUUUACAUCACUUAGAAAGAGAGAAAAGACUGUUUAUGUUUCAAAUCAUUAUUUUCUAAUUUAUUAGUAUUGCUUUGACAUUGAUUGUCAGCCGGACAUUUUUAAUUUUUAUAUCAUGUUUGUUUACGUGACAUACCGCGAUUGCAAAUACAUUAUUUCUUAUUUUUUCUAAAAGAAAUGCCUACGACAAGUGCGGCUCAAUUUGAGAUGAUGGUAGAUUUUAUGGAAAGAAAUGGAUACCUAAGCAAAACCUAAGUCCGCUACAUGGACGAGAGUAGGCGUCAGCGCAGUCUUCCACGCGCGCCCCUUGAGAAAGGGAAGCAGCCUUCAAGGACUGCUACAUAGUGGGACAACCUUCCACAGACAAGCUUCAUUCCAGUGGAAUACCUACACAGCCUGACAACAUGAAAUGUGGUGAUGUAACUUCAGCAACAAGCUCGGUGCCAAGAUUUGUUUCAGCAACUUCUGUUAAAUAAAUAAAUAAACAUAUUUUUUCAA